rnacentral:rRNA from 1 species
UACGAAGGGGGCUAGCGUUGCUCGGAAUCACUGGGCGUAAAGCGCACGUAGGCGGAUCGCUAAGUCAGGGGUGAAAUCCUGGAGCUCAACUCCAGAACUGCCUUUGAUACUGAAGAUCUUGAGUGCGGGAGAGGUGAGUGGAACUGCGAGUGUAGAGGUGAAAUUCGUAGAUAUUCGCAAGAACACCAGUGGCGAAGGCGGCUCACUGGCCCGAUACUGACGCUGAGGCACGAAAGCGUGGGGAGCAAACAGG